GACGAACGCUGGCGGCGUGCUUAACACAUGCAAGUCGAGCGGUAAGGCCCUUUCGGGGGUACGACGAGCGGCGAACGGGUGAGUAACACGUGGGUGACCUGCCCUUAGCUCUGGGAUAAGCCUGGGAAACUGGGUCUAAUACCGGAUAUGACUCCAUGACGCAUGUUGUGGGGUGGAAAGCCUUGUGCGGCUAGGGAUGGGCCCGCGGCCUAUCAGCUUGUUGGUGGGGUGAUGGCCUACCAAGGCGACGACGGGUAGCCGGCCUGAGAGGGCGACCGGCCACACUGGGACUGAGACACGGCCCAGACUCCUACGGGAGGCAGCAGUGGGGAAUCUUGCGCAAUGGGCGAAAGCCUGACGCAGCGACGCCGCGUGAGGGAUGACGGCCUU
rnacentral:rRNA from 1 species